rnacentral:rRNA from 1 species
CUUAAUUACUAAUAUAAUUCCACGACAUUUAUAACAAAACAUGGCCUAACACCACAAACUAAACCAUUUUUUUACCUGAGUAUGGGCGACAGAAAAGGUUCAACCCUAGAGCAAUAGAAAAAGUACCGCAAGGGAACGCUGAAAGAGAAAUGAAACAACCCAUAUAAGCACUGAAAAACAAAGCUAAACCUU